UACGUAGGGAGCAAGCGUUGUCCGGAAUCAUUGGGCGUAAAGCGCGCGUAGGCGGCCCUGUAAGUCCGUUGUGAAAGUCAAAGGCUCAACCUUUGAAAGCCGAUGGAUACUGCAGGGCUAGAGUCCGGAAGAGGCGAGUGGAAUUCAUGGUGUAGCAGUGAAAUGCGUAGAGAUCAUGAGGAAGACCAGUGGCGAAGGCGGCUCUCUGGACCGAUACUGACGCUGAGGCGCGAAAGCGUGGGGAGCAAACAGG
rnacentral:rRNA from 1 species